CUCAGAUCAGAUGCACUGUGGAGCCUAUGUCUAGAAGUGACUCUCCAGGGGAGCUAAAAUCCAUGUAUUUGGGCACACACUUGAACAAUAUUGCUAGAGAAAUUUAAGCAAGAGCACAAAGGCACUACGUUGUCUGGGAUGAUGGAAGGAGCUAAAGUCUUCAGUGAAUGAAGGAGCAGGACCAGGAGCUCAAAAUACUUCUUUGAAGACAAAGAAGAAAUGAUAUUACCAAAUGGUUGGCUCAAAAGAACAGGGAUUUUGCAACAGAGAGAGUAUGUCAUGGUCUUGAACAAGCAAUGAAAGAAUCAUCUGAAAGGAAUGUGGAGAUCAGAGAAAAAUGAUGGGAAAGUUACCACAGCCUGCAAAUGAGAAAUGAUGAGAGCCUGCCUGGGUUUUGCCAGGACGAUUAAAUAUCAUUGAUGCUUCUGGUCUACAAUUAGUCAGAGAAGAGAUUAAAAAAAUGAUGAGUAUUCAAGAAGGAAAGUGUUUGCUUUAACAUAUGAAGAAAAGGAGCUUCAGAGUGGUGAUUAACCCCAGAAUUGUGUGGAACGGAUAUGGAAACAAGACCACAGGAGCAUCGAGAACUGAGCAGAACUGAAGGUGACAUGAAAAUCAGCUGCAAGAUUCACCUCAGGGUGAUAAUGGGCUGCAGGUGGCUGCAGGAAUCCCGGGACAUUCUAGGCACUGCCAUAUUUUCUUAGGGGCCAGUAAGGAUGGCUAUCAUCAGAUGUACCUGAUGAUACAAACAUGGGCUGUCUUGCCUUCUAGUAUUCAUUCUUGAUGAUUGCAUCCAGAGCUCACUUUGGAGGUGCAGAUCAACUCUUCUUCAGGCUCAUCCAUGCGACUUGAGUGGGCUCUCAUCCCCAUUCCCAGGGGCUUAUGACAAUCAAGGUUUCCACUCCUCCAUGGUCUCAAUGGUUUUUCUCCCCAUGGGAAGCACAUAAUCCCAUUAGAGGCCACGGGAAGCUUUUUUGUUGGGCUUUGAGGGAAAAAAGGCUUUUGCAGCCAAUGAAUCGAUCAAUGUGUACUUCAACCUGGAUUGUAUGUAUGCAUCUCCUAGAUUGGGCGGAUGAUGAAGUGAGGCUGGAAGUGCUGAGCAUCUUCCUACCUGGGAUGACUGGGCUGAGCAGGAAGCCUACCCCGGGGUUCCAGCCAAGUUGGAGCCUGUGAGUGUGUGGUGUAGUUUAACGCCCUGAUUAAAUCACUAGGAAGCCAUUUCUCUCUCUCCUCCCAGACCAGAUCAGACAAUAUGUUCCCUUAUUUCUACUAAAGCCCCAAUUGGAUUUUGUGUCUUUUGAUACUGAAAGAAUCUUACCACAAAUAAAAUAAUUUGUCAUGUGGCUCCUACAUAUUUAUUCAGUUACAUAAACUAACUAAAUAAAUGAAUAAACUGUCAAUAAUGGUAGUUCCUCAUCUAUGAAUGACUCUUUACAAAGCCUAUCUCGCUUAAUAGUCAUAAUAAAUACUGAAGUAGAUACUAUUUAUACCUUUUUUUUAAAAGGAAUUAAAUAUUUUCAGGGUUAUACAAAGCAUGAGUAUUGUGGGUACAAAUUCAAGCUUUCUAACUCAAAUUUGAAGACUUAUCCCCAGGAUACUUUUACAUCUUUAGCUAGUACCAUGUAUACCUCAAAAGCUUACAUUAUUUUUCACAUGUGUUAGGUUUUGAGGGAUAAUCAAUAAGGAGGGCAUACUUUCAGGCUUCUUAUUUAUAACUGUGAAAUUUAGAAAUUGAUGGAGUAGCAGAUUUCUCGGUAGGAGACAGCUGUUUUAAAAUGCCCCAUGUUUUUAUUAAAGUAAAAAUCUCAAAAAUUGUCUUUUAAAAAGUGGCUCUGGCCAAUCUUAGAUAAAACAUCAUUUACUAGACUUAGGAAUUUCCUGUAGUAAAUUUCAGAUUUACUUUUCGGUCUCACAUCAUCAAAGAGAUCAUAACCCUUUGUGCAAUUAUGGUCUUGAACCAAGGCCUAUUCUCUAGGUCACUGCUGUCAGGACUUCAAGAUAAUUGUUUCCAUUGCAGGAUUUGAUUUUUAAUUCCCCGGAUGUUCUUGACGUGGUUCAGUUCUUCAGGAAAUCAUCACCCUCAUGAGCCCUCCCUGCCACUUGCAGAUAGGGCUUUCUCCCGGUAAGUUCUGGAGUCACGGCAGAGCUCAAUAAGUCUGAUUGGGACCUCCUAUGAUUAU
rnacentral:lncRNA from 10 species